GCAACUUGCAGUUGUUUUAAUAAAAUUGGUUCCUUAGGUUAUUUGCCUCUCUUCGUGAGAGGCAUUUUUUUUAUGUAUUUU
rnacentral:ncRNA from 15 species